UUGCACUUUGUUUCCUGUAGUUUAGUCACCUUAGGAGGUGUUAUCGAUAAUUCUUAGAUCUUGUCUGUACAUGAUCCCUCAUUCACUACUAGCUUCCUUAGCAACUCACAUUUGUAUUAUGGUUCAGAAAUGCCUCCACAAUAACCAAUGACUUGUCUCUGGUAUGAUGUCCACUAGCAUGAAUCCACCAUAAGGAUGUUUAGAAAUUCAUUGCAUUUGCUAUAACUGAGAUUUCGGAUCCACUGGCAUCAUUGUGGCUUGCAUGUCAGUACUUUGUACAGUAGUAAAUAUAGUAACAUAUAUCAUUUUAUGUUUUGUGAUAGUUCCAUUUUUACACUUACAGAGUGUUGAGUAUAUACUUCAAAUUUGCUUUUAGGCUGGGUGAGAAGUACAAAUCAAUACAUCUCUGUAGCUCACUGAAUUAACUGAUUUUUCCUUUUAGUGCAAAUAUAUUAUAUAUGUUUGCCAGAAGAUCAUUUUGCUCUUGUUUUAAUCCAUGUAUGGUAACUUGCACUGACAUUCUAAGUUUGAUUAUUGGAUAUUAUUGCCUUUCUUUCCAUUUUCCCCAAUACUCAUGAGUCCAUGGCAGCCAUCAUCCAGUAAGUUAUCUGGCUAUCAUUUAGUUGCUUCAUGUAGCAGAAUGCUUCAAUAGCUUUGGCAAUAUCUAUAAGCUUUUGGAUUUCAGGUUCCUAAGCUUGUGAUUUUCAGCUCUUGUAUUAGGCUAUAAAUGAUAUGUUGUUAUCCCAUUUUCAGCAAAUCAGAACAUUCAUCCAGAUGAGGACUAACUUGAAGGUGGUCGAUAACUCUGGGGCCAAGUGAGUGAUGUGCAUCCAGUCCCUGAGGGGGAAGAAAGGAGCAAGGCUCGGGGACAUGAUCAUCGGAUCCGUAAAGGAGGCCCAGCCUCGUGGCAAGGUCAAGAAAGAAGACGUAGUCUACGGCGUGGUCGUCCGCGCCGCCAUGAAGAAAGGGCGCAGCGACGGCAGCGAGGUCCAGUUCGACGACAACGAGGUGGUCCUCGUGAACAAGAAGGGUGAGCUGAUCGGCACCCGCGUCUUCGGCCCCGUCCCCCACGAGCUGAGGAAGAAGAAGCACCUCAAGAUCCUGGCCCUGGCUGAACACAUCGUUUGAGGUGUGUCGCAGAGCCAAGAGCCAAGUGUUUAUGGGAAUGUUUUUUUGUCUGUGUUCUCUGUUUGAAUAAUGCAUUGUGAAACGAUAGCAUGGACCGUUUGAACUAUUUUGAUGAUAUUGCUCGCC